rnacentral:rRNA from 1 species
UGGGGAAUAUUGCACAAUGGGCGCAAGCCUGAUGCAGCCAUGCCGCGUGUGUGAAGAAGGCCUUCGGGUUGUAAAGCACUUUCAGCGAGGAGGAAGGUGGUGAGCUUAAUACGCUCAUCAAUUGACGUUACUCGCAGAAGAAGCACCGGCUAACUCCGUGCCAGCAGCCGCGGUAAUACGGAGGGUGCAAGCGUUAAUCGGAAUUACUGGGCGUAAAGCGCACGCAGGCGGUUUGUUAAGUCAGAUGUGAAAUCCCCGGGCUCAACCUGGGAACUGCAUUUGAAACUGGCAAGCUAGAGUCUCGUAGAGGGGGGUAGAAUUCCAGGUGUAGCGGUGAAAUGCGUAGAGAUCUGGAGGAAUACCGGUGGCGAAGGCGGCCCCCUGGACGAAGACUGACGCUCAGGUGCGAAAAGCGUGGGGCAGCAAACAGGAUUAGAUACCCCUGGUAGUCCAGCGCUGUAAACGAUGUCGAUUUUGGAGGUUGUGCCCCUUGAGGCGUGGCUUCCGGAGCUAACGCGUUAAAUCGACCGCCUGGGGAGUACGGCCGCAAGGUUAAAACUCAAAUGAAUUGCGGGGUCUAGCUG